CCGUGUUUUACCACUGACCUACAUUCCAGAUCACCACAAUAUGGUUGUUGUCCUUGUUUCUUUUGUUUUAGAGACAGGGUCUAGCUGGCUCACUCUUGCUCUCACCUGAAGCUCAUCUCCUGACGUUGACUCCUGACUUCUGGGGAUUACCGGCUAAUGUCACCAUCUCCAGCUGCAUUCUUCUCUCAUCUCUCCACACAAAGUGCUACUGGCCCGGUCGCCAGGUUCCUGUGUGUCCAUCUAAUGAUUUCUACUUGUGUGAGUGCCUGGGUCAGGAAUGUGCGUGGCAAUGAUUUAUUCACUCACGACAUAGUUAAGGUUACCAUCGCUGUGGUGACACACCAUGGGGAGCAGAGGGGUUUUUGGCUUUCGCUUCCACAUCCAUAGUCCAUCACUGAAGUCAGGGCAGGAACUCAAACAGGGCAGGAACCUAGAGGCAGGAGCUGAAGCAGAGGCCAUGGAGGGGGCUGUUUAUUAACUCACUUAUCAUGGCUUCCUCAUCCCGCUUUUUUAUAAAAUUCAAGUUCUCCUGCUCAGGAAUGGUACCACCUACAAUGGGCAGGGCCAUCCCCAGCAAACACUAAUUAAGAAAAUAUCUUACAGCUGGAUCUUAUGGAAGUAUUUAUUUCCUCAAGUUUCCCCUCUUUCAGAUAGCUCUAGCUUCAUGUCAAGCUGACAGAAAACUAGCCAGGGAUAUGCAACAAAUGAAAAUUUAGUAUUUAUCAUGGGCCAGACAGGGUAUAAAAAUACUACACACACACACACACACACACACACACACACACACACACACACGACCGAGUCUGAUUGCAAAUCAUAUGCCACCUCAUUUCUGCCACUUGAGAAAUUUAUUUUUCCCUCUGGAACAAUAAGAUGCUACUCCAGAAUAGCACCCCUAGUAGGUUUAAGGUCACAUCUGUUUUCUUUUCAGGAGUUUUAUUUGUGACAGAACCAUUAAGAAACCCUUCAACUGUAGUCAAGUGGGGUAGGUGAAAUUCUGAAGGGGCUGUAGUUGUAGGUGUGUACAGUUGUAGUUGUGUACAGGUGUGCAGUUAUGGGUACGGUGAGGUGGGGACAGCUAGAGAGAGCAGAAAAGUUGGACAGAUACUGUGUUGGGGCAACUCCUGGAGACAGUACUCUUUUCUUUUGGUUUCCCAGAGAGUAGCAGCAGAAAGUUAUAGAGUCCACCUCUGGCCAUCAUCUGGCUUGAAGGCCACCCAAGAAGUGCUGUGUACUGUUUUGGUAGUGUACGACUAUUAUAUCAGCAUGGAGGAGGCUGAGACAGAGGGCAUGAGGUUGAGGCCAGCCUCACAUAGCAAGACACUGUCAAAAGGAGGCAGGGCUGGAGAUAGCCAGAGGACAUGGGUUCAAUUCCCAUUACCCACAUGGCAACUCACAACUUCCUGUAAUCCAGUUCCAAGUGAUGUGACACUCACACAGACACCCAUGCAAGCAAAACACCAAAGCACAUAAUAAAUAAAUCUUUUUAUUUUAUUUUUUUAAAAGCAAGCCACAAACCUGCCAUAUGACCCAGUCUUCCUCCUUCCUUCCUUUCUUCCUUUCUUUCUUUCUUUC
rnacentral:lncRNA from 1 species